rnacentral:lncRNA from 1 species
UGGAAAAUGCCAGCAGGUGUUUUGAAAUAUGCAGGACUUGAUGACAUUUGGAUCUCUAGAAGUAGGGAGGAGAGCAGAGAAGUUUCUGAAGAAACCAGAAGAGAGAAAAAAAAAAAACAGUAGAAUUGUGAGAAUCCAAGGAGAAACAGUAAAGCCAAAACUGGGAGAAAAGGAGAGGUAAGGUAAGAGUUCUUAAACUAGGAGACUAACAUGAAGGAAAGUAGAAAACAUUCAGAAGCUUGAGAAAUGGUGACCGAGAAAGGAGAGGAGAAGCAUUGAAAAGAUAAGUUCUAAAUGAAUGUCAUGGAGCAAUAUGCAUUAAAACAAAGUAAAUAAGUGUUGUAAAUGACAAGAGGACAGAAUAGAAGCGAUUAACA